UGUUGCCGGGCACCGCGCUCGGCGCGUCGAGCUGCUGCACGAGGCGCUUCGCGGCCGCGAGGCGCGACGCGUUCGACGCACGCAGCAGCAGC
rnacentral:tRNA from 1 species